rnacentral:rRNA from 1 species
AGUCAAGUAAUUAAGUGCAUGUGGUGGAUGCCUUGGCAGUCAGAGGCGAUGAAAGACGUGAUAGCCUGCGAAAAGCUCCGGGGAGGCGGCAAAUAUCCUUUGAUCCGGAGAUGUCUGAAUGGGGGAACCCACCUACUUUAAGGUAGGUAUUGCAACAUGAAUACAUAGUGUUGCAAGGCGAACGAGGGGAAGUGAAACAUCUCAGUACCCUUAGGAAAAGAAAUCAAUUGAGAUUCCCUCAGUAGCGGCGAGCGAACGGGGAUCAGCCCAUUAAGUUAUGUGUGUUUUAGUGGAACGCUCUGGGAAGUGCGAACGUAGAGGGUGAUAUUCCCGUACACGAAAGGGCACACAUAAUGAUGACGAGUAGGGCGAGGCACGUGAAACCUUGUCUGAAUAUGGGGGGACCAUCCUCCAAGGCUAAAUACUCCUGACUGACCGAUAGUGAACCAGUACCGUGAGGGAAAGGCGAAAAGAACCCCUGUGAGGGGAGUGAAAUAGAUCCUGAAACCGCAUGCAUACAAGCAGUGGGAGCACCUUCGUGGUGUGACUGCGUACCUUUUGUAUAAUGGGUCAGCGACUUAUAUUCAGUAGCGAGGUUAACCGUAUAGGGGAGCCGUAGAGAAAUCGAGUCUUAAUAGGGCGUUUAGUUGCUGGGUAUAGACCCGAAACCAGGCGAUCUAUCCAUGAGCAGGUUGAAGGUUGGGUAACACUAACUGGAGGACCGAACCCACUGUCGUUGAAAAGCCAGGGGAUGACUUGUGGAUAGGGGUGAAAGGCUAAUCAAGCCUGGUGAUAGCUGGUUCUCCCCGAAAGCUAUUUAGGUAGCGCCUCGGACGAAUACCAUAGGGGGUAGAGCACUGUUUCGGCUAGGGGGUCAUCCCGACUUACCAAACCGAUGCAAACUCCGAAUACCUAUGAGUACUAUCCGGGAGACAGACUGCGGGUGCUAACGUCCGUAGUCAAGAGGAAAACAAUCCAGACCGCCAGCUAAGGCCCCAAAAUCAUAGUUAAGUGGGAAACGAUGUGGGAAGGCAUAGACAGCUAGGAGGUUGGCUUAGAAGCAGCCACCCUUUAAAGAAAGCGUAAUAGCUCACUAGUCGAGUCGGCCUGCGCGGAAGAUGUAACGGGGCUAAAACUAUGUGCCGAAGCUGCGGAUGUAUACUUUGUAUACGUGGUAGGGGAGCGUUCUGUAAGCCGAUGAAGGUGUGUUGAGAAGCAUGCUGGAGGUAUCAGAAGUGCGAAUGCUGACGUGAGUAACGACAAAACGGGUGAAAAACCCGUUCGCCGAAAGACCAAGGGUUCCAGUCCAACGUUAAUCGGGGCUGGGUGAGUCGACCCCUAAGGCGAGGCCGAAAGGCGUAGUCGAUGGGAAAAUGGUUAAUAUUCCAUUACUUCUGUGUAAUGCGAUGAGAGGACGGAGAAGGCUAAAUCAGCCUGGCGUUGGUUGUCCAGGUGAAAGGAUGUAGGCAUGUAUCUUAGGCAAAUCCGGGGUACUCUAUGCUGAGAUCUGAUAGCAAGCUGUACUUGUACAGCGAAGUGGUUGAUGCCAUGCUUCCAGGAAAAGUCUCUAAGCUUCAGUUACACAGGAAUCGUACCCGAAACCGACACAGGUGGUCAGGUCGAGUAGACCAAGGCGCUUGAGAGAACUCUGCUGAAGGAACUAGGCAAAAUGGUACCGUAACUUCGGGAGAAGGUACGCUGUUGUUGGUGAUGGAACUCGCUUCCUGAGCUGACGACAGCCGCAGAAACCAGGCCGCUGCAACUGUUUAUUAAAAACAUAGCACUCUGCAAACACGAAAGUGGACGUAUAGGGUGUGAUGCCUGCCCGGUGCUGGAAGGUUAAUUGAUGGGGUUAGCGUAAGCGAAGCUCUUGAUCGAAGCCCCAGUAAACGGCGGCCGUAACUAUAACGGUCCUAAGGUAGCGAAAUUCCUUGUCGGGUAAGUUCCGACCUGCACGAAUGGCAUAAUGAUGGCGGCGCUGUCUCCAGCAGAGGCUCAGUGAAAUCGAAAUCGCUGUGAAGAUGCAGUGUACCCGCGGCUAGACGGAAAGACCCCGUGAACCUUUACUGCAGCUUGACACUGAACUUUGACCUUACUUGUGUAGGAUAGGUGGGAGGCUUUGAAGCUGGAACGCUAGUUCCAGUGGAGCCGUCCUUGAAAUACCACCCUGGUAAUGUUGAGGUUC